rnacentral:rRNA from 1 species
GAGUUUGAUCUUGGCUCGGAUUGAACGCUGGCGGCAUGCCUUACACAUGCAAGUCGAACGGCAGCACGGGAGCUUGCUCCUGGUGGCGAGUGGCGAACGGGUGAGUAAUGCAUCGGAACGUAUCCUGGAGUGGGGGAUAACGUAGCGAAAGUUACGCUAAUACCGCAUAUUCUGUGAGCAGGAAAGCGGGGGACCUUCGGGCCUCGCGCUCUUGGAGCGGCCGAUGUCGGAUUAGCUAGUUGGUGAGGUAAAGGCUCACCAAGGCGACGAUCCGUAGCAGGUCUGAGAGGAUGAUCUGCCACACUGGAACUGAGACACGGUCCAGACUCCUACGGGAGGCAGCAGUGGGGAAUUUUGGACAAUGGGGGCAACCCUGAUCCAGCCAUGCCGCGUGAGUGAAGAAGGCCUU